GAGAGCGGACAUCUUUCUGGUUUGAAGGUUUGUCGGGAAGCGCCAUCUAUAUCUAACUUUCUGUUUGCAGAUGAUUCUUUGAUCCUCAUGAAAGCAAAUUUGAAAAAUGCACAUGCCUUGAAGAGAGUUCUUGAUUCAUAUUGUGCAGCGCCUGGGCAACUGGUCUCCCGGCCAAGGUAGGGAUGGAUAAAACAGAUUGUUUUCAGUAUUUGGUGGAUCGGGCUUUGAGCAGAGUUAAUGGAUGGGAAGAAAGACAGCUAUCCUUGGGCGUAUUGCAUUACUGGUGGGGAGACAGCGACAACCAGAAGAGAAUGCAUUGGAUGGCUUGGUGGAAACUAUGUGUGCCAAAGAGUAAAGGACGAUUGGGCUUCAGGGAUAUGCAUAGUUUUAACUUGGCACUCCUGGCUAAGCAAGCAUGGAGGCUUAUUGAUAACCCAGACUCUUUGUGUGCAACGGUUCUUAAGGCUAAAUAUUUUAU